rnacentral:lncRNA from 1 species
CUGAAAUUGUUGUGUAUGAGGGGAGACUUCUACUCCGCCAUCUUCUCAGAAUCUUCUUCGAUGUAAAUCUUACCCUUCCUUCUCUAUUAGUUCAGAAGUUUCCACUGACGUACUUCAAUCUCCAGUCCAGUCUGAUUUUUUCCUCAGCCACAUUUAGUCUCCUGAUGACCUCAUGGAAGACAUUCAUUUCUUUUAUGGCAUUUUUGAUUCUGGCAUUUCCUUUUGAGGCAUUCGUAGAGUUUUAAUUUCUGUCCUUACACUACCCGUCUAUUCUUGCAUUGUCUACCCUUUCCAUUUGAGCCCUUUGCCUAUUGUCAUAGUUAUUUUAAAUUUCCAG